UUUUACCCGCUGAAAUUAAGCAUAUCAAUAAGCGGAGGAAAAGAAACCAACAGGGAUUGCCCCAGUAACGGCGAGUGAAGCGGCAAUAGCUCAAAUUUGAAAUCUGGCUCUUUCAGGGUCCGAGUUGUAAUUUGCAGAGGGCGCUUUGGCGUCGGCAGCAGCCUAAGUUCCUUGGAACAGGUCAUCAUAGAGGGUGAGAAUCCCGUAUGUGGCUGCUUGUCUUCACCGUGUAAAGCCCCUUCGAUGAGUCGAGUUGUUUGGGAAUGCAGCUCUAAAUGGGAGGUAAAUUUCUUCUAAAGCUAAAUAUUGGCCAGAGACCGAUAGCGCACAAGUAGAGUGAUCGAAAGAUGAAAAGCACUUUGGAAAGAGAGUCAAAAAGCACGUGAAAUUGUUGAAAGGGAAGCGCUUGCAGCCAGACGUGCCCGCAGUUGCUCAUCCGGGGUUCUCCCCGGUGCACUCUUCUGUGGGCAGGCCAGCAUCAGUCCGGGCGGUUGGAGAAAGACCUGUGUCAUGUAGCUCUCUUCGGGGAGUGUUAUAGGGCAGGUGGAAUGCAACCAGCCUGGACUGAGGUCCGCGCAUCUGCUAGGAUGCUGGCGUAAUGGCUGUAAGCGGCCCGUCUUGAAACACGGACCAAGGAGUCUAACAUCUAUGCGAGUGUUUGGGUGUCAAGCCCGAGCGCGUAAUGAAAGUGAACGGAGGUGGGAACCCCUCGGGGUGCACCAUCGACCGAUCCUGAUGUCUUCGGAUGGAUUUGAGUAAGAGCAUAGCUGUUGGGACCCGAAAGAUGGUGAACUAUGCCUGAAUAGGGUGAAGCCAGAGGAAACUCUGGUGGAGGCUCGCAGCGGUUCUGACGUGCAAAUCGAUCGUCAAAUUUGGGCAUAGGGGCGAAAGACUAAUCGAACUAUCUAGUAGCUGGUUCCUGCCGAAGUUUCCCUCAGGAAA
rnacentral:rRNA from 1 species